rnacentral:rRNA from 1 species
UCAGGACGAACGCUGGCGGCGUGCUUAACACAUGCAAGUCGAACGGGAGUAUUGAAGAAGCUUGCUUUAGAGAUACUUUAGUGGCGGACGGGUGAGUAACGCGUGAGGAGCUGUCCUAUGCAGGGGGACAACAGCUGGAAACGGCUGCUAAUACCCCAUAAGCCGAGAGGUAAAAGGAUCAAUCCGGCAGAGGAGGUACUCGCGUCCUAUCAGCUAGUAGGUGAGGUAACGGCUCACCUAGGCGAAGACGGGUAGCCGGCCUGAGAGGGCGAACGGCCACACUGGAACUGAGAUACGGUCCAGACUCCUACGGGAGGCAGCAGUGGGGAAUAUUGGGCAAUGGGGGGAAAAACCCCUGACCCAGCGACGCCGCGUGGGUGAAGAAAUCCUUCGGGAUGUAAAGCCCUGUUGUAUGGGAAGAGCGGAAGACGGUACCAUACGAGGAAGCCCCGGCAAACUACGUGCCAGCAGCCGC